rnacentral:tRNA from 2 species
GGGGCUAUCGCCAAGCGGUAAGGCACAGGCCUUUGACGCCUGCAUUUCGUUGGUUCGAAUCCAACUGGCCCUG